AUGAUCGAGAUUCGUGCACCGGAGCCUCACUACCCCGUGGAUGAUGUAAAGGAGAUGAAAGAAUGUGAUCUGCAUUAUCCCGUGGGGAACGUUUCCACGAAGGUAGCUACCGGCAGUGCUUUACCCUGUACACCUGGAGCACUCCACCACAACAACCCCAUUGCAUAUGGCUAUGCUCGUGUCACGGUGGAAGACAUAGUCCAAGAGUUUGAGGACCUGGAGAUUGACAAAGCUACACCCGAAGGGGAGAGAAGACUUGGAGAUGUCAAGCGCCAGAUCAUUCUAUGGAAAAAGAAGUACAUAGUGUUUCCAGGCGAGGCGCCAAGGCUAACAAGUCCACCCCCCUCCGAUGGUGGUGGUGGUGGUGGUGGCGGUGGUGGUGGUCGUGGUGGUUCACCUACACCUCCUUCACGCCAUUCGACGCCGUCCCCCGAUCCACAACCUCCGGCGGGUAAGCAGCCGCCGCCCCCCAAUCCUCCUCCGGCGGGUACGACGCCCCCCAAUCCACCUCCGGCGAAGAAGCAGAAGCAGGCGGACAGCAAGGAAACCCGCUCCUGGACUAUUAACCCGGACCCUUAUGUACCUAAGACCACAAGGGUACCGGAGCCAUCACUGAAGCCUCUCCUCCCAAGGCCUUGGGAACUUAGUGAAGCUGAAACCAAAUUGGCCGCGUCUACUCAUUAUGAGAAAUGA
rnacentral:rRNA from 1 species